rnacentral:tRNA from 1 species
GGAGGGGUGCCGGAGUGGCUGAACGGGGCGGUCUCGAAAACCGUUAGGGGCCGAUAGGUCCCUCGAGGGUUCGAAUCCCUCCCCCUCCGCCU